rnacentral:rRNA from 1 species
UACAGAGGGGGCAAGCGUUAUUCGGAAUUAUUGGGCGUAAAGGGCGCGUAGGCGGCGAUUCAAGUGACGGGUGAAAUCCCUCGGCUUAACCGAGGAACUGCCUGUCAGACUGGGUUGCUUGAGACCGGGAGAGGUGAGUGGAAUUCCCAGUGUAGCGGUGAAAUGCGUAGAUAUUGGGAGGAACACCAGUGGCGAAGGCGGCUCGCUGGACCGGAACUGACGCUGAGGCGCGAAAGCGUGGGGAGCAAACAGG